rnacentral:rRNA from 1 species
AACGAACGCUGGCGGUACACUUAACACAUGCAAGUCGAACGAGAAAGUCCGCAAGGAUGAGUACAGUGGCGCACGGGUGCGUAACACGUAGGUGACCUGCCUUUUUGUUUGGGACAACCCGGAGAAAUUCGGGCUAAUACCGGAUGUGCAGUAUCGAUUUGAAUAAGAUACUGGAAAGUAUGCCUCUACUUGUAAGCAUACACAAAAAGAUGGGCCUGCGGAGCAUUAGCUAGUUGGUGGGGUAAUGGCC